rnacentral:snRNA from 1 species
GGGCGAUCUGGCUGUGACAUCUGUCACCCCAUUGAUUGCCAGGGUUGAUUCAGCUGAUCUGGCUGGCUAGGCAGGUGCCCCCUUCCUCACCGCUCCCAAAGCUGUGCGCUCGGUCAAAGAGGACGACCAUCCUGGACAGAGGAGGACCGUUCUUCUCGGUCAAGGGUAUACAAGUAGCUGUGCUCCCUGACUAGAACCUCCAACAAGCUCUCAGAAUGAACUGAAUGUUUAUAAGACUACUUUUAUAGUAAUUUUUCUCAUGAGAUCUUAUUAAAACACAUUUUGUUUAUGAAAACUGUU